rnacentral:rRNA from 1 species
AGUGAACGCUGGCGGUAGGCCUAACACAUGCAAGUCGAACGGCAGCACAGUAAGAGCUUGCUCUUACGGGUGGCGAGUGGCGGACGGGUGAGGAAUACAUCGGAAUCUACUUUUUCGUGGGGGAUAACGUAGGGAAACUUACGCUAAUACCGCAUACGACCUACGGGUGGAAGCAGGGGAUCUUCGGACCUUGCGCGAUUAAAUGAGCCGAUGUCGGAUUAGCUAGUUGGCGGGGUAAAGGCCCACCAAGGCGACGAUCCGUAGCUGGUCUGAGAGGAUGAUCAGCCACACUGGAACUGAGACACGGUCCAGACUCCUACGGGAGGCAGCAGUGGGGAAUAUUGGACAAUGGGCGCAAGCCUGAUCCAGCCAUACCGCGUGGGUGAAGAAGGCCUUCGGGUUGUAAAGCCCUUUUGUUGGGAAAGAAAAGCAGCAGGUUAAUACCCCGCUGUUCUGACGGUACCCAAAGAAUAAGCACCGGCUAACUUCGUG